CAGACUGGCAGCUGGACCCUCUGGACAUUUCUCUUUGGAGGGGGAGCAGCUCCUCUCUUUCUUCUGCCCUUUCCUCUCUGGCUCCAGCAGCACCUGGUCUUGUGAGGGGCACAGGCCACCCAGCAUGCUUCAGAGGACCUUCUGAUUUAUUAAUGCCACCUGAUCCGUAGCCUCUCCAGAUCACUGGGAUGUACGGAGGUAGCUGUCUCCAUCCAAUUGAUGAGGAAAGAGCGAGAAAAGAGGAAGAGAAAGAAGGAAAGAGGAGGGACAAAGGAGAAGUACUUAUGCUACCACAUUUCCAAGCUGCUCAAAGCACGGUGCAUCCAUGCUGGAAGAAGAAGAGAGAGACACCAUCCUCAGACGGGUUUCCUGGGCCUGGGACCAACAAUCUGAGCAUCUUUUGGGAGGAUGACAAUAUGCAAAUAUAGCAAGUAUGAACUAUUUCCUUCUACCUUGUCUUUGAAAUCCAACAUUUUCUCCCUGUUUUGCUUUGAUCUGAUUGUUUUGCUUUACUGACUAUUCUGUUUUGAUUGAUUUUAUUGUGUUUUGGUUUUGGUUUGAUUUUGCUGUAUUUGAUGAAAU